UACGUAGGGGGCAAGCGUUGUCCGGAAUCAUUGGGCGUAAAGCGCGUGUAGGCGGUCCGGUAAGUCGGCUGUGAAAGUCCAGGGCUCAACCCUGGGAUGCCGGUCGAUACUGCCGGACUAGAGUUCGGAAGAGGCGAGUGGAAUUCCAGGUGUAGCGGUGAAAUGCGUAGAUAUCUGGAGGAACACCGGUGGCGAAGGCGGCAUCCUGGACCGGUAUUGACGCUGAGGCGCGAAAGCUAGGGGAGCAAACGGG
rnacentral:rRNA from 1 species